rnacentral:rRNA from 1 species
UACGAAGGGAGCUAGCGUUGCUCGGAAUCACUGGGCGUAAAGCGCACGUAGGCGGAUCUUUAAGUCAGGGGUGAAAUCCUGGAGCUCAACUCCAGAACUGCCCUUGAUACUGGGGAUCUUGAGUCCGGAAGAGGUGAGUGGAACUCCGAGUGUAGCGGUGAAAUGCGUAGAUAUCUGGAGGAACACCGGUGGCGAAGGCGGCAUCCUGGACCGGCAUUGACGCUGAGGCGCGAAAGCCAGGG